AUCAUAAAUAGCUGCAGAUAUUUCUGUACUAAGGUAGCAUAAUCAUUAGCUUUUUAAUUAAAAGAUAGAAUGAAAGGUUAAACGAAAUAUUUUCUGUCUCUAAAGUUAAACACGAAAUUAAAAUAAAAGUAAAAAUUCUUUUUAAAUUAAGAAGGACGACAAGACCCUGAUAAACUCAAUCAUUUAGCUGGGGCGGCAAAACAAAAAAACCUUAUAUAAUAUAAACUUUAACACUCCUAAUAUAAAUUAAACAAGAUACAGUUACUACAGGGAUAACAGCGCAAUCUUUUUUAAAAGAACUUAUCCAAAAAAAGCUUUACGACCUCGAUGUUGAAUUAAUUUCAUCUUUUAAGAGCAAAAUCCUUAAUGAGAAGGUC
rnacentral:rRNA from 1 species